UACGUAGGGACCAAGCGUUGUUCGGAUUUACUGGGCGUAAAGGGCGCGUAGGCGGUCGGACAAGUGGAAGGUGAAAUCCCCAGGCUCAACCUGGGAACUGCCCUCCAAACUGUUUGACUUGAGUCCGGGAGAGGUGAGUGGAAUUCCCAGUGUAGCGGUGAAAUGCGUAGAUAUUGGGAGGAACACCAGUGGCGAAGGCGGCUCACUGGACCGGAACUGACGCUGAGGCGCGAAAGCGUGGGGAGCAAACAGG
rnacentral:rRNA from 1 species